UUGAUUAAUUUCUUUUACUGCAGUUAUGACAAGUCUAUAGUGUCACGACCCCAAUUUCCAUCCAUACGAUGUCGUGAUGGCACCUAGUCUCUAAGACUAGGUAAGCCUAACAAACAUGCAGAAUAUAACUGAAAUAACAAAUAAACUCCAAAAAUAAUUACCCAAAACAUGGUGAUAUCGAGUCACAAGUUCUACGAGGUUACAACUGUAACUAGUAAAAGAAGGAAAAUAUAAAAGUAGAUAGAUGGUGACUCCAAGACUGCGGACGUCGGCAUGUGUAUCUUAAAAUCUCCACGUACAAACUCACUCACUGAUGCCUGGACUGGUAGAAAGUAACUGGAUCUGCACAAAAAAUGUGAAGAAGCAUAACAUGAGUACACCAUAACUCGGUAGAGUAGUGACGAGGUCAGGUCAAGGCCCUACCGAAAUAGCAUCCCGCGUUUUAGCCUCCUUUAUCACAAUGCAUGGCUUCUAGUAGUUCCCCUACUAGGGGCGUGUAUCAAGCCCAGCUUAUGUCACCGCAUGCGUUUCAACCCCAAAAAUUAUAUCACAGCAUACGUAUCAAUACCCCAAGGUAUCACAAAUCACGCAAUAAACAAAUAAUAGCUAAGAUUCGUAAACACAGUUUUCAAGCGGAAACUAAGAGAAAAGUCAGAAUAAGGUCGGAUUUUACCUCUUGUUAGGCAGUAAACUAGGGCGUCAAUCUACUCUCUUGUCACGAACAGAUCCGAACUUCGAGCCGAAUGAGUUUCAGCAUCUCUGUCACGGCUAAAGUUCACCGAGACAGUAAAGAAAAGUUUUUAUAAGGGACUCUUGAGUAUUUUAGACUAUAUCAGAUGUGUGAGUGAUAAAAAUAGUAUUUCUGAUUCUUGUGUCUAGUGUAGGCGGCUCCAGGGAGAUGUAGAGCUAGGGUUCAUGUUUGGGCGGGAUUUUGCAAACUUUAAAUUUUGAGAAAUAGUCGUUGUGAGAGGUCAAAAUCGUGAUGCAAGAGAGCAGAAAAAGGGACUGACAUGGAUGAAGAAAGAAGAGGGAUAGGGAACCCGUGACCCUCUCUUGUCUACAACGGAUCUUUGUGACAAAUUUUGACUUGAGGAAGAAAACAAAAUAGCUUCAAAUAGCUCCUGAAACUUUCAUGAAAAUGGUGAAACAAGGUCAUGUGAUGGUGAGAACUGAGGAGAGGUACAAAAAUCGACCAAAAUGGAAGGGGAGGAGAGAGUUGCGGCUGUUGCUUAUUAGAAGAAACAAAU
rnacentral:lncRNA from 1 species